AAACUUUACAGUUUCAUUGUGUAUAUUAUAUUGAUUAUAUUAAUCAGGCUUUAUAUAUCCUGGCUAUAUAUAUCGAAUAGUAGUGUGCUAUUCCGAAGAAAAGAGAUAUUUUUAGAGAUUAAAAAUACUUUGCGACAGAAAGAGGUCGUGAUCACUGGUCGAUCUGAGUUAUCAUGUUUAAACGUGAUUUAAAUAAAAAAAAAAAACCGACUUAUUUUAGUAAUUAUCGCACGUGUUAAAUUCCUCACAUUCCAUUGAAGCCACUGUCGAUUGUUUUAUUAGCGCAAUCAUCCGGGUCAAUCGAAAGUCCUUGGCAUAUGCAUUUGCAAGCGUAAUUGAGAGACAUGAGAUAUACCGCACGCGGCACGUUAUUAUAAAUCCGUUCUAUCAGCUCAAUUACAUGUAUGGAACCGUUCAGCAUUCGACCUUUCAAAAAAGAAGAUUGUACUUUCAGUCUCACUCAUUUCGGAAACACGCACUAUUUUUAGCUGGCGCUAAAUGUAGAAAAAGAGAAAGCAGAAGAGAUCAACUUCAUUUUUAUUUUUUUACCAGAAAAAAAACGUCAGGUAUAUAAUUUCAAAAAGCAAUAUAUUCUCUUUAUAAUUGGCGCAAUUUAAAGAUUUCAUACUUUUUUUUUUAAGAAAAUAAAUAUUAUUUAGGUUGAAUUAGAUUACUCAAUUUUAAAAUAUUAUUUAUUUUUAAGUAAAUGCUACUUGGGUUGGCAUAAGAUUUUUCAACAAGGAUAUAAAAGGAUAGUACUACUCGCGUUUUAUGAAAAAAUGAAAGGUACUAACCAUUUGGGUUGAAAUAAGAAGAUUUUUCAAUGACAAUAUAGAGAUAGUACCAUUUAAGUUUUAUAUAAAAAUUAAAAAUAAUACCAAUUGAGUUGUGUAGAAGAAUGAAAGAUACUGCCACUUGAGUUGGAAUAGAAAAAUUUUUUUGAAACGUUGGUUUUUUUUAGUAUUUAUUCAAGUCAUUAUGCUAUUUCGUUGAUUUCAUUUAUUUAAACGCAUCGUACCAUGCAAUUUCUCUGUCUCAAAGUCUGUGUAAUCUCCAAUGACAUUUUAAUUCUGCAAUUCACGUAAUUAGUAACUUUCAAUUUAUUAUCGAGUGUGAAAUCUAAAUUCUUUACGAUGGUUAACGCAAAUGAAAAUAUCGUCAGAAACUUCUCGUUCGGAACGCUGUCUCUUCAAAAUUCGCCUGUAAGCAUAACGAGGUAGCCAGUCUCUGUUUUUGCUAAGUCAGCUUAUUGCGUUCACCUCGCGCGACGCUUCUACCACGCUUUAAUCGCCAGUGCAGUUCUAUCAGCUACAAUAAGAAUAACGUUUAAUAAACUGUCACAUUUAAAUAAAGUGAUUGUAUUGUCGCGCCUGAACGAACACAGAGCGGAAUUAACAAAAUAUGCAAAAUUUGUUACGUCAACGUGGGUUAUUUAUUCCUGAUAACGGAUCCAAGAAUCAUCAGUCCUGGGCAAACUGGAGUAAAAGCAAUAAGAAUCUAUGAUGUUUUUGCAACAAGAACUAGUAGUACACCAUCGGUACAGAAGAUUGCUCACAUCCGAUUCUACGAGCACCGAAUCCAGCAAAUCUGAGAUGACAAUAACGUUGCCUAUGACAAUGACGUAGCCGCGAAGUCGCUUUUAACUGACGCCGAGCACCCUACAACUAAUGACUCUUUACCUCUAGAACAUGAGCCAGCCGAAACUAAACGGUAAAUAUUGUAAAGAAUAAAAAUAAUGUUUGACAUCUUCCCGAGAUAAUCUAACGUUCUGCUUAUGAAAAGUACGUGUACAAAUGAAUCAAUGUGUCGGUAUUAAUGAUUUCGUUAUCAAUAUAAACUGCUCAAUUACAGAUAAGCAUGUGGAGAACCGUCAAUCCCUAACCCAUGGGGAUGAUUUUUGGAUACAGGCCGAAUAAGUCACAUUAUUCGGCCUGUGUCCAACAAUGAUCCUCAAUUUGAUUGCCUAGUACUGAGAACAAAAACUAAGAGAUGUUUCUAAGGUUUCCUGAGUACAAACGAGCGCAACAAACGACAACAACGUCUCAGGAAAAUUGUGAUUGUCCUGAGUAUAAUUUUUGCAUCAUUACUAAUAGACCUUCCGCACGAGCGGACUCUCCCGUUCUCGUUAUGGAAAAACCAGUGGAGGAAACCUACCCUAGCAAACACUUUGGUGUUUGCAAUUCUUGCGCCAAAAGUGACGUGGCCGGUUAUUAUCAAUUGUGCGACCAACAGUACAUUACAACCCUACUCAUUAUAGAAAUAACAACGAACUUCAAGAAACAUUUUGCCACGUGGAAGAAUUUUACAAUUACGUUUUGAACAAAUUUUAGAAUAAGAAUCCUUUGAAUACAGAUUUCUAUAACGGAAACUUCAAAUGAUAUCACUUCAAUCGAUCCUGAUGAUAUAUAUCAUGCAUUGACUAUCGAUAUUUGUAUAAAAUAUAUUAUUAGGAUCGAUUAAAGUCGAUGACAACAAAUGCAGAUGCAAUUUUUAGACGACUGAUCGUAAUGGUUUCGAUCGGAGAAGAAUGAUAAUAAUUGUAAUAUACAGUUUUCAUGUUCUAGAUAGACCUGAAAAGCUAUUAUUGUGCCGAAGACUAUGUAUUGCACGCAACUACCUUUGAGCGAAUCAAUUUUCAGCCUAUGCAUCGCAAUCUAUAAAUACUUGUUACUUUAAUAUUAUUUCAUGUUUUAACCUUUCAGAAACACAUUUCUAAUAUUUUACGUUUUAAACGUUUAAAAACUGAUUUUUUGAAGUUCUAGAGUAGAAUACUCCUUUAAGGAAGCAAGUCCCUUUGAAAAAUCAAAACAUCGACUUUUUUAAUUGCAUUUUAGAAAAUACAUAUUUUCAAGAAUUUACCCUUGAAUUUUUAUCGAAAAAUUUGAAAAAUUACAGAAGUUGUAGCAUUUUAUUCGAAGCUGCAGCGCGCAGGUCAGAAUCAGAACACACUCACUAGGUCUACGCAUAAGUUUGCCGAAGUCUUUUCAAUACAAUGAUUGUUGUAAUGGUUAUAAAAUGAAGAUUGCUAUUCAAAUUGAGAGAAAUUUAUUCAAUAAUUGAUAUAAAAAUAUUGUCAAACACAUCGAGAUCCGUUACGACCAAAAAAAUGGCACUUAUUUUUUUGUAUUAUUCGGUCUAAUAUCUAACUUCUGGGUUCGAAUCUUAGCUAAAUGUCAUCUUUUCUAGCUAGUGUUAUCUUUUUUUAAUAAAAAAAUUCUUUACACUUUUUCAGGAAGGGGAAGUUCUAUAUAUUUCUGAGAGCAUCAAAAUUAUUAAAUUGCUCGUAAAUUUAAUAAUAUUAUUUAUUCCAGUAUCUUGCAAUAACUAUUGUUUCAAGUCCGUUGAAAAUGUGGCGCGCAAUUUGCAUAAACCAAAGAUCGUAAAAAUUAGUAUAAUUUAGCACUAAGUCACUUUGCUGUGACUGAUAUAAACCGUCUCAUAUGUUUAACAUUUUUAUCGGUCCAAAUUUCAAACUCAUUGUUAACAUCCAACUUAUUAUUAAAUAUUAUUAAUACAAUAAAAUUGUACAAUAUAUGAUUAACGAAAAAUAAAUAUAUAGAACAAUAUUUACAAAAAAGUUUGUCUAUUCAUUAAGGACGUGUCAAUCUAACAAAUUGUAACGAGAGAACUGUAUAUAGUUUAGAGCGAGCGACUAAAGGCUUGCUACACCUUGCAGAUCAGGACUCACGGAUAAUCAUCUAUCGGGCGAAAUAUGGGUAACAAAAUAGUCAGAGUGCCGAUGCCAUUUCUCUAUCCGGUUUCUUUAUAUACCCGACGACUUUACGUUACCCGCGACAAAAGUCUUCGCCGCGAGUGUCGCCAAGGCAACAACCAAAUACUUUUGUCGAUCGACUAGAGUCGACCGUCCACCGGGAGAUCAUGAGCGCCGAGAUAGUCGACUGUGGGGGAAAAGGAGGAUAACGCACGCGAGUUUGUGGGUCAUUCGCAUUCGGUCGAGCCGGGUGCUACAGCACGGAGCACCGUGGAAACGUACCAAUGAACUCCACGCGAAUAGGUUGUCAGGAGCACGAAAGAGUCGUACGUCUAUCUCGUUGGAUGCGCGUAACCAUUCGGACUGUCCCCUGCACGCUGCGUGCAUUGCUUACGUGCAAUCGACGAAUCGCUUGUCUGUGCGUCUGCGUUAAGGAGACAGCUAUUAUAAUGUAGCUCCAUUCGUCGCUUAUCGUCGAAUUAUCGCUCGCUCGAUCGCGAGGCGAGCGCUGCCCUUCGAACUUCGAUCGCUCGAGUGAUUCUCCAGAGCACGAAAGUAAAGGCUCGUCUCUUAGAAUACCAACCUCGGUAUCUAUCUCAAUGUCUUAACUUUCUCGUUUCAAAUUAUAAAAUAAUCGGGCUGAGGAUCUCUCUUGGGGUUUCCGACUUGUGCACUCCGUGACCCUUCGUUCUCCAUUAAUGACGGUUUUGAUCGGGGAAAAAAAAA